rnacentral:lncRNA from 1 species
ACAAAUCCCAACACCACAANGGCCGGGCCGGGCCGGGCCGGGCCGAGCCGAGGGGACGGCGCUCCGGCCCCCGCCGCCCUCACCCCGCCGGGGCUGGCGGCCACCCCCGCCAUUUUGAGGAGGGGGGAGAACCCGGGGCCUUCCCCCGUGCCACCAGCGGACAGCUCCCGCCGCCCGGCCCCGCAUGGCCUCGGCGACCCCGGCGGGGCUCCCGCUGCCGGCCCCCACCGCCGCCAGCCGCCUGGCGGGCUGCGCUACCUGCCGGCUCGGGCCGUUGGCGGGUCGACCCCGCGCGCCGCGCCGCGUCCCUUUCCGCCAUCUUGUCCGGGUUUAAAAUUAACUCGCCGUGACGUCAGAGCUCCGCCGCGAGACCUUUAUCGCCCGGCGGCGGCGCGCGGGGCGCGGGCACGGUGGGUCCUAGUGCCUCCGGCUGCCCGCCGCGGGAGGGGCGGCGCAUGCGCAAUCCGCAGCCCUGCCGGUGGCGGGUGGGGAAGGCCGCAUGCGCGGUUUGCGUUUGACGGGCCCAGAGGGGUAACCUGUGCAAUGACAAAUCAGCAAGCCCACCACCUACCUGAGUCACUGCAAACACCGUGCUGGCACUGGGGAACGGUGCAGUCUCCCAUCCUGAAGGGCUGACGGUCCUGGGUCAAGCUGGAGAGGUUUCUUUCAGAGGUCCAGGCUGGCUGCAUAGUGAUGAAUUAGCUCAAAAGAGGCAUUCUUCUGUGAAUUCCCACGACACCAAAGAAGUCAAGUUGCAGCUCUCAAGAUCCUUUCCAAGGAAGCAAACUCUCACCAGCCCUGUCCCCCACAUUUCCAUCCCCACACCCUUGGAUGAGACUGUAUCAGCCCAUUGCCCACAUCAGGACACGUCUGGAUGCAAUGUAGCCGUAACCCACUGUGCUCAGCUCUCCUCAGCAAGAGAAGAUUUGGGCUGUUGUGGUCUCCCUCACCAAGGACACAG